GAUAAAGGUCAAUUUUUACUUUCCAUUGAAAUUACAUUAUAAUUUUUUUUCAUCAAUUUUGCAUCUGAUAUGAUAAUAUCUAUCAUAUCAUGAGUGGAUUUUUUUAUUCAUUUUUCAUGCUAAGUCUACGGCAAAAAUAAUGCAUUCAUUUUGCCGCCAAAAAUUUCAACUCAAAGUACAACUAAUGGGCAACUGCACAUAGUCAAAUAGUGGUAGUGCAGCUAACUAUUUUCAAUGCAAAUGUCGCGCGCUUCUUUUCCCCUUCUAUUCUCCAUACAAAUUUGAAUUUGAUCGUUGGAAAAUCGAACAUUCGAACUCAACGGUCGUCGAAGACGGUUGUCCUCACUUUGAGCUAUUUUUCGUGAUCAUGUCGUGAUAUUUUUUCAUUUUUUCUAUUUUAAUCAUGGAUUUUUGCAGUAAAUUUUGGAACAAAGAAAUUAAUCGAUUCAAGAUUAUCGUUGUUAAAACAUAUUGCGGUCUAAGAUCAAAAAUUGGCCCCGAAAUCGAUGAAGAUCGUUUGGUUCGGCCAUCAUGUAAUCAUGAUACAAGUUGGAGAAAAAAUUCCAUUUUCGCUGACUUUCAAAUUUUUCUUUUUCAGAGUCCAUUAUACUUGAUGUAUGACAAUGCAUGGAAUUCGGAUUAAUAUAUUAAAACAUGGUCAAUGAGCAUAAAAUCAAUGGUCAUUAGAAUCAUAUAAUGCCGUCUUUAGAAAAACGAUCAUGGUAAUGAUGCCGAACAUUACAAAUUUAUUGGUGGAUAUCUGGUCACUAACAUGGUACGAUGUCCAAUGAAACAUAUUUGUCAUCAGGCCUGCAUUGGAUUGAAUUGUUGGAGCAACUUAUUCGGUUCGUUCCUGAAAUUUUACAAUCAUCAAAUUGAAAUUCGAUUUAUGAUUAUGUUCGAGAUCAAUUCGGCGGUUCCAUUGUUCAUCAGCAUUCAAUUCAAGAAUAGUUUGGCCAUGUUCAACACAUGAUAACAGGUUAGGCUAGGGUUAGAUUAGGCUUAGGAACAUGGUCUGAACUAUUUCCUAUUGAAUUUGAUGCUGAUUGAAUCUUUGGAAUCAAUGAAGCGAUCGAAAACAUGAUUAUAAGUCGAAGAUUCACGGGAUGGAACGCAUACUUGCAAAUGAUCAUGGAUCGUCGGCGAACAAUUGGGAAAUUGAAUCUCGAACCACGGAUAGAAUUUGGACAUUGUCUUGUAACAUGGACCGCGAAUAUUGGACCUAUUUCAAAUGAUCAUGGAUCGCCGGCGAACAAUUGGGAAAUUGAAUCUCGAACCACGGAUAGAAUUUGGACAUUGUCUUGGAACAUGGACCGCGAUUAUGGAUUUAUUUAUGUCAAACGGGACAAUUAACGUUGUAUGGCGCAAUUGGGGUGUGAAACGUGGAUGUAUUUUAUUAUUUCCAAUUUUUAUUAAAUUAAUAUUUCAAUAAAAUCAAUUAAAUUUCAAUAUAUAUGGAUUAAAUUAAUAUGGGGGGUAAAGGGAAUGAAAGGGGGUCAAAAUUGCUGCAACAAUCGGUGAGCGACACCAUCGAUGAUUUCGAUAUAUCGAAAAAACAAUCGGUCAGUCGGGUGGUCGCGAAAAUCGCGAGUACUCGCGAAAAUUGCGAGUAGACUAUCGAUAUAUCGAUAGUCAGUCGGCUAGUCGUAUGUCGUUUGCGAGUACUCGCGAUUUUGGCGAGAUUUCGGGUGACGCCAAAAUCGCGAGUACUCGCUGGCCACCACUUUUUUUCUGUGAUAUUCUCAAUAAAAAAGAAUAUGAAUUUUUUUCAAAUUUUCUUAACGAGUGAUGGACACCAGCCAGCCAAUAUGCGAACAAAUGCAACAUGUUCUGCUAUCGAUCUAAAUAAUCAAUUGGAUAACCCAAAUGAUGUUCAACAUCAUCAACUGAAACAGGCUGGAUCAAUAAUAACACAGCAGCCGGAUCAUCGUCAUCAUCCAGAACAACGUAUUAAUCGUAUGGAUCGAUGUUGUUUAUAUCCAAUUAUAUUAUCAACAACAACAACAAUAACAAUAACAACGCUGUUGCGAACAAAGACAAAGAUAUCGCUAACGACGACAACAACGACAACGACAACAUAAAAUUUUCGUCGAAUUAAUUCGAAAUCUAUUUCAUUGUAUAAAUAAUUACCAGAAUCGACCGACACAUCGAAAUGGUUCACUGCACAGUUUAGGUGUAUGUGUGAAUGGUCAACAAAAAUUUCAGAUCCAUUUAGAUGAUCGAUUAACAAACAUGAUAAGUUUUUUUUUCAAUUUCUGAUAAAGUUAACUAAUUUUUUUUAUUGGUCAAAUUUUAGUAUCAAUCAAUUGGAUCCUACCACCUGUUUAACUAUGAAACUUAUGAUAAAUCACGUAUGAUGCUACUAAAAGAAAUCUACGAAUGUUUCAAAGGUUUUGGAUUUGGUUGAAAAAAUCAUAAACCACAACAUUGAUUUGAUCUAAUAGAUUGAUCUUAAUUGUGAUUAUAUUUGCAAAACAAAGCAAAAAAUUCUUUUUGUUGGUUCAUAAAUUGCUCAAAAAUUAUUUUAAAAAUACAUUUUCAAACAAAACAACCUUUCUGUCUCGUUCUUUUUUUUUUGUCUCUUUGUCUCACUAUCUGUAUUCUCUCAUUUGAACAUUAAAAAUCAUUAUUAUUGGUCAUUUAGUUAAAAGUGAAA